AUUGAACGCUGGCGGCAUGCUUUACACAUGCAAGUCGAACGGUAACAGGCCGCAAGGUGCUGACGAGUGGCGAACGGGUGAGUAAUGCAUCGGAACGUGCCCAGUCGUGGGGGAUAACGCAGCGAAAGCUGCGCUAAUACCGCAUACGAUCUCUGGAUGAAAGCGGGGGACCGAAAGGCCUCGCGCGAUUGGAGCGGCCGAUGUCAGAUUAGGUAGUUGGUGGGGUAAAGGCCCACCAAGCCAACGAUCUGUAGCGGGUCUGAGAGGACGACCAGCCACACUGGGACUGAGACACGGCCCAGACUCCUACGGGAGGCAGCAGUGGGGAAUUUUGGACAAUGGGCGCAAGCCUGAUCCAGCAAUGCCGCGUGCAGGAAGAAGGCCUUCGGGUUGUAAACUGCUUUUGUACGGAACGAAACGGUCCGGGCUAAUACCCUGGGCUAAUGACGGCACCGUAAGAAUAAGCACCGGCUAACUACGUGCCAGCCGCCGCAGUAAUAC
rnacentral:rRNA from 1 species